UUGAGCUUGCUUGGCCGCAUG
rnacentral:misc_RNA from 1 species